rnacentral:rRNA from 1 species
AGCAGCCGCGGUAAUUCCAGCUCCAACAGCGUAUAUUAAAGUUGUUGCAGUUAAAAAGCUCGUAGUUGAAUUGAGGGAUUGACGUGACGGUCGUGCCUUACAGGGUAUGAACUGUUGCUGUUGAUUUUUCUCACCUUCUGGAGAAACUUGAUGUCCUUAAUUGGGUGUCUUGCGGAUCCAGGACCUUUACCUUGAAAAAAUUAGAGUGUUUAAAGCAGGCAUUUUGCUCGAAUACAUUAGCAUGGAAUAAUAGAAUAGGACGGCAUGGUUCUAUUUUGUUGGUUUCUAGGAUCACCGUAAUGAUUAAUAGGGAUAGUUGGGGGCAUUAGUAUUCAAUUGUCAGAGGCGAAAUACUUGGAUUUGUUGAAGACUAAUUACUGCGAAAGCAUUUGCCAAGGAUGUUUUCAUUAAUCAAGAACGAAAGUUAGGGGAUCGAAGACGAUCAGAUACCGUCGUAGUCUUAACCAAUAAACUAUGCCGACUAGGAAUCAGACGAUGUUAAUUUUUAAUGUAUUCGUUU